GCCAGGUGAGGUAGUGAGCCGGUGAUAAACUCUGGAAGAAGAAUAACUCAAGCUGCCGAAUAUGUGUGAGAGAUGGAGACCUUACAAUCUGCUUGCGGAAUCACAAUCUAACCAGUGUCAGUGAGGAAAAACUCAACUUUACUGAUGACUAUGAGGAGGUUUCUCUCAGCCGUAGGAGAAAGAAAAGGAUUGUCUCCAGAACAAAGGAAGCUCCUGAUGGUCUUGUGAUUGCGGCUUCAUCAAUAAGUCAGUGUUCAUAAUGCACCAACUGAACACGAAUCCCUGAGGGCAGCAGACCUCAAGAGCAUACAUGACUCAUCUUCGGCAGAACAUGAUUAUCUCCUGGGUCGGCACUGCAGAACCCAUUUUCCCAAACCAGGCGCCACAGAGACACUUCCUUCCUCCAGACUGUCUCUGAUGAACACAGUGAACGCCUC